UUUUUUUUUUUAUAUACAAUACGACAUGAAAUAUGAAUUAAAUUAGGUAUAAAUCCUUUUUUGUAAUGUUACUUUAAUAUGUACGUAUAAUUAGGUAAUUUUAAUGUAAUCUUUAGUUUAUGUUUUAGAGAUUGUAGGCUAAGUAUUCGAAUGUAAUUUAACAUUUUUUAAUUAUUAUUUAUUAUGUAUUCUCAGACGAUUUAAAAAGAAUAACCGUAAUUGAUUAGUCAGUAAUAAGUAAUCGUAUUUUUAUAUCAUAAAGUCGUCUUGAGGAUCGUGUCUUUUAUAUUGUAAUGAGCUCAAAAUUUUUCACUGUAAUCUAUUUAUAGUAUAUAUAUUUUAAUAUUUGUUAAAUUUUACACACGGUGCAUACUUUAUAUAGUUUUAUCGUAUGGUAACACCGUAUAAUCCGUGGGUAAAAUUUUAAAACAAAGAAAUACUGCCG
rnacentral:misc_RNA from 1 species